GACGAACGCUGGCGGCGUGCCUAAUACAUGCAAGUCGAACGCUUCUUUCCUCCCGAGUGCUUGCACUCAAUUGGAAAGAGGAGUGGCGGACGGGUGAGUAACACGUGGGUAACCUACCCAUCAGAAGGGGAUAACACUUGGAAACAGGUGCUAAUACCGCAUAACAGUUUAUGCCGCAUGGCAUAAGAGUGAAAGGCGCUUUCGGGUGUCGCUGAUGGAUGGACCCGCGGUGCAUUAGCUAGUUGGUGAGGUAACGGCUCACCAAGGCCACGAUGCAUAGCCGACCUGAGAGGGUGAUCGGCCACACUGGGACUGAGACACGGCCCAGACUCCUACGGGAGGCAGCAGUAGGGAAUCUUCGGCAAUGGACGAAAGUCUGACCGAGCAACGCCGCGUGAGUGAAGAAGGUUUUCGGAUCGUAAAACUCUGUUGUUAGAGAAGAACAAGGACGUUAGUAACUGAACGUCCCCUGACGGUAUCUAACCAGAAAGCCACGGCUAACUACGUG
rnacentral:rRNA from 1 species